AGAGCUUACGCCCCUUUACAUUAUUUGCAAAGUUACUUAAUUUCAAGUCAUGAUAUGAAUGCUACUAAGUGGUUGGUAUAUGAUAUUCCGACGCGAUUCAAUGAGAGUUGGAAUGAGGGGAAAAUGGUAAAUUAGUCAUGUAAUGACGAAUAAUUAAAAACGGUUUUAAGUAAAACAAGUUCAAAGAAAACCGGGAUAGGUAAAAGGGGUGAAAUGGUAAUUAAAUACCAUCUCAACACGGACAAAUGGUCAAUUAGACUAAAUGGGUCAAAUGGUGUGGAUAACACCAUUUGGCAAUAACAAUUGACAAUCGCUUGUUGAGUUUUGUGAUUUCAGGAAAUAACAUGUGUUGCGUUGCUUUAAUUAGAAAAUUUAAAGCAAGAAGUAUGUAAACGGGUCAAUACUAUGAUCCGAGCCAGGUGAAGAUGGGAUAAGCGGUUUGAAAGAUACGAAAGUUUUCGUGCAAAUAAACGGCAAAAUAGGAAAGCUGGAAUGCAGGGGCCACCGUAACUUACGGUGCCACCGUAAGUUACGGUGGAGCUGAAGGCUUUACGGCAGCCCCAUACUGAUUUACGGUAGGGGCAUGUCACACCAGGGGCCAACGUAACUUACGGUGCCACCGUAAGUUACGGUGGAGGCCAGUUGAAAAUCCAUGUUUUGAGAUCAAAAGUUUAACGUUGGGAUUCUUUUUCCUUCCAUUAUUAUUACCGGAUUUGUUUAGACUUAUCACAUUUCCCGUAUGACUAAAGCAUUUCAUGUUGAUGAAAUGUAGGUUCUUUUUGGAUGCCGGAAGACGAUCAAGCUCGUCGAAGGACCGAACACGAUAAAGAUACAUGCUUCCGCACAUUUCCUCGUCGUAAAUUUUUAAACGACAAACUCGAUCACUUAUGUUGAAUAACUUAUGAUUUGUAAAAGUUUUAAUAAACUCGUAUUUUCAUAGUAUGUGUAAACUUAAUUACACAUCUAA